rfam:Gossypium hirsutum cultivar TM-1 chromosome 4, whole genome shotgun sequence
AAACCAUGCAUCAGACAUUUCUUAAGUAAUUCCUUGAAUCGAUUCCAAGCUUCAUAUAGUGUUUCAUCCUCCAAUUUCUGAAAAUAUGUGAUGUCAUUCCUAAACUU